rnacentral:rRNA from 1 species
UCCCCAUCAAAAGGGGAUAACACUUGAAAAAAGGUGCUAAUACCGUAUAACAAUCAAAACCGCAUGGUUUUGAUUUGAAAGGCGCUUUCGGGUGUCGCUGAUGGAUGGACCCGCGGUGCAUUAGCUAGUUGGUGAGGUAACGGCUCACCAAGGCCACGAUGCAUAGCCGACCUGAGAGGGUGAUCGGCCACAUUGGGACUGAGACACGGCCCAAACUCCUACGGGAGGCAGCAGUAGGGAAUCUUCGGCAAUGGACGAAAGUCUGACCGAGCAACGCCGCGUGAGUGAAGAAGGUUUUCGGAUCGUAAAACUCUGUUGUUAGAGAAGAACAAGGAUGAGAGUAACUGUUCAUCCCUUGACGGUAUCUAACCAGAAAGCCACGGCUAACUACGUGCCAGCAGCCGCGGUAAUACGUAGGUGGCAAGCGUUGUCCGGAUUUAUUGGGCGUAAAGCGAGCGCAGGCGGUUUCUUAAGUCUGAUGUGAAAGCCCCCGGCUCAACCGGGGAGGGUCAUUGGAAACUGGGAGACUUGAGUGCAGAAGAGGAGAGUUGGAAUUCCAUGUGUAGGCGGUGAAAUGCGGUAGAUAUAUGGGAGGAACACCAGUGGGCGAAGGCGGCUCUCUGGUCUGUAACUGACGCUGAGGCUCGAAAGCGUGGGGAGCAAACAGGAUUAGAUACCCUGGUAGUCCACGCCGUAAACGAUGAGUGCUAAGUGUUGGAGGGUUUCCGCCCUUCAGUGCUGCAGCUAACGCAUUAAGCACUCCGCCUGGGGAGUACGACCGCAAGGUUGAAACUCAAAGGAAUUGACGGGGGCCCGCACAAGCGGUGGAGCAUGUGGUUUAAUUCGAAGCAACGCGAAGAACCUUACCAGGUCUUGACAUCCUUUGACCACUCUAGAGAUAGAGCUUCCCCUUCGGGGGCAAAGUGACAGGUGGUGCAUGGUUGUCGUCACCUCGCGUCGUGAGAUGUUGGGUUAAGUCCCGCAACCAGCGCAACCCUUAUUGUUAGUUGCCUCAUUCAGUUGGGACUCUA